UCUUAAAUCACAGUGACUUGAUGGAAUCGGGCACGAUGAAUUUGUUCUGCUCUAUGUUUUAUUUUGGUUUGUGUUUCAUUCAGAAAUGGAAUAAACCUCAGACCCAAAUUCAACUUAGAAAACUAUGUCUGUUUUUGCUUUUGAAUUGAAAGAAAAAAGGAAAAAAAACAAAACAAAACAAAACAGACCACUCACCCUCUCCUUUCAAUCAAAAAGCGAAUAAAUACCAAGGAGAAGUCUUCUCACUUCAGCACCCUGGACCCUUAGGAGUCAAAAAGGAAGGAUCCUGACUAUACAAGCUGUGAUGAAUUUGAUUUGACAACAGACAGCAACAAACACCUGUGUCGAGGAGGAAGUUUCAGAAUAUCUCAUCAAUGCUCAGAAGUUAAGUGACUUUUAUAAGAGUUAUAUGGAUGUUGAAAUAAGGAACUUUUUAUUUAAUAAUAGUUCACCUGUGGUGGAGGGACUAUGAGGUCAAGAGGACACUGAAAAAUUCUCCAGUGUGAAAUUCUGCAAAUUCAAUAGUAGUCUUAAUUCAGAGGAAGAUGAAAAUUCAAACUUGGAUGGGAAGACUGCACGUGACAGAGUGAAGAGAGGGGAGCACUUCCAGUUGGAGCUGUGGGGCAUCAGCCACUCUCCCACUUCCUGUGAAGCUCUGCAAACAGCUGUUGGAGAAGUCAGGUUCUAUGCAGGCAGAUAAGCCACAGCUGUAACUGAGGCACACGGCAACAAACACAGUGGAGCCAAUUUCUACAAUGGCGAGAGAGGGGGCAUCAGAGUUGACAACAAUGACAAGGACCCAAGGACCGUCCUUCUGACAAGUUUCAGGUCUUCUUGAAGGUAAUGCAUUGUAUGAGUGGUUAAUUUCACGAGGAAUAUUGAAUUCCAGGUAUCUGAAGGCACAUAUUCCCCAGGAUGUGAUUUGCAGCCUCAUGGAGCGAGUGACGGAGUGGGUUGCCAACUUAUAGUGACUCCACUCAGCGGCGCAGAAUGGCUGCGGAAAAUGUGUAUUCAGAUAAGCCCCAAGAAAUCUGCCCAGGGUGAAACAAGUACCUUUGAAGUUUAAAUCAGAAAGGAAGGAGAGGCUGUUUCUACAGGUGUCAGAGAAAAAUCGAUACUGAGCCACGGACUAUUGAAUCCCGUAGAACCAUGGAGGCUUGGCAGUGAAAUUCUUCCAAAGGCAGACGGUGUUCCUAGGCUUGGAAACAUAAAUCCCAGGGGAAGUGAGCUGAAGAACAUUUUAUGCAUCACUCAUCCUAUUAUGAGCCCUAUGCUGCUCCAUCUCUACAAGAUUGGCUGAAGCAAUAGCAACCGCAAAAAAUUGUUUAUGAUUUGCAUUCUAACUUUCCAUCAUUUGGUUAAUAUCCUGACUCUGGUUAUCCAAGAAAACAAUGUUCUAAAAGAAAGACUAUUAGAAGGUUGCUGCUGCAUUAUUAGUGAAUAACGUGUAAAGUGCAACAUUCUAGAUGUCCCAUCAUAAGAGUUGGCCGUUAAAGAACAGAAACAGAGCAGUAAGACUGCGUGGCUACAUUUUCCCAGUGCCACCAACUGAGAGUUAAGCUGACUAACGUGUUGAAAGCCCAGCCCAUUUCGUUCACAGCAGGCAUGGCAGAGAACCAGAAGUUACCCAAGGAUGCAUUAUUGUCAACUCAGAAGUUUGAAUAACUAAUUAGUGGGCCAUAAAAUCAACUGAGUACAGAAAGCAUGACCAGCAUUAAAAGAAAAAGGUAAAAGGAAAAAUAGAAGUAUCAGAGUGUGUUGCAUAUAAUAAAACGGUUGACUGAUUGUACCUGCCAGCUGGCUAAUAUCAUAAUUAACAAAGUUGCUACUACGUCUGCAAAGUUUAAUCGAAAAAUUUGCCAGUGAUAUGAUGGCAUUGUCACAAAGAUCACAAGGGACUCGGAGUCGACUUUCGCUCAAGGUGGAACGGCAGAGCUAUGGAGGCAAAAUGAGAAAUCUUGAACUUGUUCAGCCAAAGGAGGCUAAUAAUGAAGGGCCAGAGAAGGAGGCCAGUGCUACCAGGGUUAUCUCGCAGCCUCAGAUGUCGGAUAAGUCGAAGGAGGCAGGAUCGCUUCAGGAUGACAUUCAGAAAGGCCGGAGUGAAUACUGGGAAGAGAAAAGCCUACCUAUUCUUUUCUAAGGUACCUGAAUAUUCCCCUGGCCUGCCUGUCCAGGCACUGAUGCAUUAUUAGCAACCUGCCUUAGACAAAGGAGGCACUCGGAGCCCCACCACACCUCAAACCACGCUUUGAAGGAUCUGCCAAGCUCACUUUUAAUCAUGAGGAAGGAAUUACCCACAUGGAGUCAGCAGAAAAUGAGAAAGUGGAGCUCGUGCUGCGAAUAAUUCCAGCAAGUGCCAAGGGGCUAGUUGAGGAAUGGUUUCAUGAGCCCACCCAUCCUGAGGCUGCAUUUAGUUUUCCUAAGCUUCCUUCCUCCUCUUGUGACCUCUCUUCUGAAACAAAGAAGAAACAGUCCAAUCAGACUUGCCCUCUUGGAAAUGUGGUCCAGAUUGCUCUACUCCCAAGCUCCUAAAAAGGUAGACAUUGGGUGGGCUCGAUCUACACCUUCUCAGAUCCAUGGAGCCACUGAGAGUUGUUUCAGCUUUACGAGUGUAGUGGAGAAAGUCUGGGUGUCAGAGGAAAUGGGGGGCUUUGGAGAACUGGGUUCUAAUCUCUCUGCCACUUUAAUUUGGGGACCUGGGGCAAGUUGUUUAAGCCAUGUGAGCCUCUUUAUCUUUAAAAUGAGGAGAAGAAAUACAUCUUGGGAGAAUAUUGUGAGGAUUAAGUGAGUGUUAGGCAUACCUAACAAAGCAUUUAGCAUGUUAAAAUAAGUUCAUGAAUAUUGCUUUUUCCCUGCCCUGUCUCUUCUCUCUUCUGUUCCCAUUUCUCCCCACUCCCUUCAAUGGAAAACUAGCCCCUCUGAGAGUGAAAAAAUAGAAUGCCUGCUGCUGCUGCUGCUAAGUCGCUUCAGUCGUGUCCGACUCUGUGCGACCCCAUAGACGGCAGCCCACCAGGCUCCGCCGUCCCUGGGAUUCUCCAGGCAAGAACACUGGAGUGCGUUGC